rnacentral:lncRNA from 1 species
UAGCACUCGAAUAUAACAUUUUCUUUUAAUUCUCAGCAAGGCAAGUUACUUCUAUAGAAGGGUGCAUGCUUACACAUGGAGCAAUGGUGAGUGCACACUUGGACAAGGGAGGGGAAGGGGUUCUUAUCCCUGAUGCAUACGGCCCCUGCUGCUGUGUCAUUCCCCUAUUGGCUAGGGUUAGACCGCACAGGCUAAACUAAUUCUGAUUGGCUAAUUUAAAGACAGUGACAGGGUGAGUGGUUUGGCAGGAAAAAUGGUUAUGACAGAGCAGGUCAUCGGAAUGAGUCAGGGUGGAGUAGGUAAUCGGAAUGAGUCAGGGUGGAGCAGGUAAUCAGAAUGAGUCAGGGUGGAGCAGGUGAUUGAAAUGAAUCAGGGUGGAGCAGGUAAUUGAAAAAGGUUGCUUUAUGAGGAAGUUAAGUUUAAAAGUAGAAGGUAAAGAAUUGAACAUACUGACAUAUUGAUUCUUUGAAAAUAAAUUUAGAACUCAUAUCUAACAAUCCCUCCCCUUGUAUUUCCUUACAGCUUUCUUUUCAAACCUUUUUUUAACAUGUCUUGGCUUAGCUGUUUUGCUUGAUUUUCCAAAAGAAGCUUCUCUGGAUAAGGUGGAGGAUAGUUAAGGGAGGUUUUAGUAUGUGCCGUUUUUAUGAGCCUCUGCAUCAACCUACGGAUGCAUGGUAUGACACAGCACCUGACAAGAAUAAGUACACCCAUUACGGCUGCGAGGGAAGUAAGAAUUGAGGCUAUUAUUCCUUUCCAUUUACCGAACUACUUUUCUUGCCAUCCUGUAAAGGGGUCAUUUACCCCUGAGUUGUUGGCUAACUCAUUGGACAGAGUAGUCAGACUUUGCAAUGCCUUUGUUAUACUUCCAUCAGUGGUGGUGGUGUUUGGGAUGAAGGUACAACAUUGAGUUUUCAUCAUGACGCAAACUCCUCCUCUUUCUGCUAAUAUCAUGUCUAAGGCUGUCCUGUUUUCCCCAGCCAUCUGGCUAGUUGCCCCUAAUUGUUCAGCUAUUCCUUUAACAGCAUCUCUAAUGUAGUUAAUAAAUCGCUGUUGGUUGUAGUAGAUGUAGUUUAUCCAAUCUACAUUUUUAUUAAUUGUCACCUACCAAAAUAUUGACUUAAAUCCUGCAGCUAUUUGAUUUCGGGUUUUAAAUUGAUCUGGUAUUCCCUAUGGGACUCCAAUUGUGUCUAAAUAGACGUGAGAGUCUAAAGGCCCAUAAGGGGCUUCUCUCGCUUUACGAUGUGUUAUUUUUCCUUCCUCUGGUUGAUGAAAUGCCAGGGUGAAAGGGAUAGCCAACUGGGCUAAAGCACAAGUGCCACUCCAGUUAUUCAGCAGUGUCCAGUAAAGGUUCACCACAAUACCACCACACAUCCGCUCGGGGAUGAACAAGGGCUGACUGAUUGAUAAGCUCUUGAAAAUUCUUAAGCUCACUGCAUCCCUUCAGGUCUACAAGGAAUGCUAAGUCUCCUCCCUGUCGUGAGAGACACGAAGUGAACUUAGUGUUGGGAGACUGAAGCUGGAUGGCCCUCGGGGGCUGACCCACAGGGUGCCAGACUUCGGGAUAUAGCAGAGAGAGCUUGGCAUGACUUACUAUUCCAGGCUGUAGAAUCCUGGAAAAGAGCUACCAUGCAGCCCAUGCCUGGUCGACUGGAGGACCACCUUAGUGGAAAGGGGACAAUCUGGGCCUCUGGCCUGCUGUGUGCACAAGCAUAACAAUUGCUUUUGUUUAACGUGUGGAUGGAAUAUUUGAUCCAUUCCAACUGGUAUCCUGUCUUAAUUGCCAAAGUUUGUUUUAAGUCUUUAACUUUUACGAUAGCUAUCUUGGUCUUGUCGUUAGAUGGAGGAGGAGCAAUUAUUCCGUUGUGAGAGGUUUUGGAAGAAGGCUUAGAGGAAGGUGCAGGCGUUGGGGGAUCAAAGAAAUGCAUUUUAAAGAAUCUAAUAGGGUUUGUCCCUGAAACCUCAGCCCCUAUACCAUAAAAGCCAAUUCCAGGCUUAAAGAAGGGAACUGGCUUAGAAAAGGGAGAGAACUUUGAGAGUUUGAGAUAAUAACCCAUAUAGAAUUACAUUGGUUUAGCUGACAGUUAGGGGGGAGGGCCGUCCUUCUAGUAAAAUGAAUGUAUGGUUUUAGGAAAUUACAAAAACCGUUUGGAGCAGUCCACUCUUGGUCUUUAGUGGUCUACAGAAUGUUGGACUAACUACGGCAUAAAAGCUCUACAACAGGGAGCAAGACUCCUGGUUGACACUGGGGUCUUUAUCAAAAUCUCCCCCGGAUUAAAUGGUGCCAAUUCACUAAUGCCCAGUCUGAGGAGAGUCAGGAGGGACAGAGGUACUUUUCUGAAGUAGAGAGCUUUGACUUAGCAAGUCCCCACAGGGUAUAACAAGGCAAGCAUUAAAUGCAAUAGUUUGAGGUGAAAUUGACUUGGUUAUGUUAAUAACUAGAUGGUCAGCAAUAGAGCGAGGAAAGAAGAAAGAGUAAUAGAAUAGAUGAAAGAGAGUUAAAUUUUUCUUAGCUUUAGUUUGGUAGGGUUUUUCCCUGGGACCAUGGCCCACAACUCAGGAGGGGGCGGCACUUUGUUGACUCGGGUGUGAUGAGUCCAUCCCCUUUCCACUGUACGAACAGCAGUCUCGGUAGUUAGCAGCACAAGGCAGGGUCCUUCCCAGGCUGGCUGGAGUUUUCCUUCUUUCCACCCUUUGAUGAGAACGUGAUCCUCAGGCUGGUGCUGGUUUACUGGAAAUUCUAGGGGUGGUACCUGUGCUAAAAGACUUUUAGUUUUGAGGGAAAGGAAAGUGGAAGAUAAUCCAAGUAUAUAAUUUCUAAGAAAUUGAUCUUUUGUUUUAAAUGUGGGGACAUCAACAGUGGACUUUAUAGUCCUUGGUGCUUUCUUACUGAGAAAUUUCCUUUAGCACCAAUUUUUAUUAGUUUUUAUACCAAAGAAAGCCAAACACCAUUUUAUAUUUGACAAUGCUUCCUGUAUGAUCUUUAUACCAGAUAAGCUAAAUUUCACCUUUAGUGUGUUAUUAAUGUUAAACUCAAUUUUAAUAAAACCUUGUAGACAUAUUUAUCCAAUUUUAACAUGUGACCAUAAGGUAAGAUUUUUAUAGACUCUUUUCAACCUUUUAUAAUUUUUGUUAAAGAGCAGGUUAGUGCUUUAAGAAAAACCUGUUGUGCUUUUAUUUUAAUGUCCAGUUCACAGAAAAACUGGAUGAUACCUCUUUAACUUUAGCCAGUAUGUUUACACACAGAAUUUCCUUUACAAUUAAUGUUUCAAAACUUGCUUAAACCUUUAAAACUAUAUAUAUAUAUUUAACCUUUUAAUGUAGGUAAAAAUCCACAUUCUUAUGCCUCCUUAUAAUCCUUUUACCAAAGGUAUAUUUUACUUUCCUUAUACAUCUUGCACAUAAACUUUCUUCAAUAGUUUUACAUUCAGGAGGCCUAAUUACUUUUAAAUUAUACAACAUUUCUUGCAUAAAUUCCCUUUUAUAACUUUUUUUUUCACGACUUUCACAGAUAAUUCUUUGACAUGUCUCAACUUUCUCACUUGUUGCAAACAUCUGUUUCUUUAAACAACCAGUAGAUUUAUUUUAGGACAAGAAUUUACCAUAUAACACUCUUUUUACAUAAAUUCUCUUCCUUUUUUUUUCCAAAGAUGAUAACCAUUCUUUUCCACAGCGAACUUCCUUCAUGUCUGUGGACUAGACUGCCUAAGACCACAAGAUUAGAAGUUAGGAUAAUACAUGUUACACUGUUAACUUUUAGCAAACUUUACUUUUUGUUGAAAACCUUAUAAGUUUGGGAUUUCAAUUAUCCUUUGCUAUUAAUAAGACCUUGUUUAGUCCAAAUUAACUUACAAUUGGUAUAGAUGGUUCCUUCCUGGUUCUGUAAGUACUUUAAGGCUUGGCUGAGUGCAAACAGCUCCCAUGUUUGAGCAGACCAAUUAUUAGGCAAUUUUCCUAACUCUGCUUUUACAAGAGUUUCCCUAUUAAUUACUGAAUACCUAUUGUGUCUUUUUCCCUCAAUUACUCGGGAGGAACCAUCUAUCUCCUGUCCUGAAGGGAGUUCCUCAUAGGUCUGGUCGGACCUUUGUAUGGUAAUUAAUUAAGAUUUAGAUCCCCUGUUAGGAAACCUGCUGAGUUAAGGGAAUUAUCGGUGGUUAAUUUUAAAUCAUCUUUUUCUAACAGAAUAGCCCCAUACUUUAAGAUUUUUGAGUUAGUAAGCUACCUUUUUGCUUUUUUUUUUUUUUCCCCUUAGGCUAGUUCUGAACUGGCGAGGUGUGCUCACAAUGAGGUUUCUUCUAAAAGUUAUUUUUCUACUUUCUUCUGCUACCAAAGCAGUUGCCGCUACAGAUUGAAUUCACUUGGGCCAUCCAUGGGUUACUGGGUUAAGGAUUUUUGAUAGGAAGGCUACGGGUUGUCAGUGGCCUCAGUGCUUUCGGGCUAUGCCCUUGUUUACACUUACAACAAGGUGGUAUUGGAGUGUUAGAGUGUCACAGAGAAGACCUUCAAUUAUCAAUUAUAGGUUUUAAAUUUACCCUGGGCUUUAAAGGAAUAUGGUACAUUGUUUUCUCUUUACUACUUCUAUCUCUCUCUCUCUCUCUCUCUCUAACUCCCUCUUUGUCUCUUCCUCUCUCUGUUUUUCCUCUCUCUCUCUCUUUUUCCUCUCUCUCUCUUUCCCUCCUCUCCUCUGAAUCGACUAAAAAGGUGAUAAGCUCAUGUUUAGGUCCCACCUCCAAAUUUAUC